rnacentral:rRNA from 1 species
AUUGAACGCUGGCGGCAGGCCUAACACAUGCAAGUCGAGCGGCACACGGGUACUUGUACCUGGUGGCGAGCGGCGGACGGGUGAGUAAUGCCUAGGAAUCUGCCUGGUAGUGGGGGAUAACGUUCGGAAACGAACGCUAAUACCGCAUACGUCCUACGGGAGAAAGCAGGGGACCUUCGGGCCUUGCGCUAUCAGAUGAGCCUAGGUCGGAUUAGCUAGUUGGUGAGGUAAUGGCUCACCAAGGCGACGAUCCGUAACUGGUCUGAGAGGAUGAUCAGUCACACUGGAACUGAGACACGGUCCAGACUCCUACGGGAGGCAGCAGUGGGGAAUAUUGGACAAUGGGCGAAAGCCUGAUCCAGCCAUGCCGCGUGUGUGAAGAAGGUCUUCGGAUUGUAAAGCACUUUAAGUUGGGAGGAAGGGCCAUUACCUAAUACGUGAUGGUUUUGACGUUACCGACAGAAUAAGCACCGGCUAACUCUGUGC